rnacentral:rRNA from 1 species
UCGAGAAUCUUCGGCAAUGGGCGCAAGCCUGACCGAGCGACGCCGCGUGCGGGAUGAAGGCCCUUGGGUUGUAAACCGCUGUCAGGGGGGAGCAAGGCGUAAGCUUGAGCGAGCCCCAGAGGAAGCACGGGCUAAGUUCGUGCCAGCAGCCGCGGUAAUACGAACUGUGCGAACGUUAUUCGGAAUCACUGGGCUUACAGGGUGCGUAGGCGGCCUUCCAAGUCAGGUGUGAAACCCCCCAGCUCAACUGGGGAACUGCGCUUGAAACUGGAGGGCUGGAGGCAACUAGAGGUGCAUGGAACUUCCGGUGGAGCGGUGAAAUGUGUUGAUAUCGGAAGGAACACCAGAGGCGAAAGCGAUGCACUGGGGUUGAUCUGACGCUGAGGCACGAAAGCCAGGGGAGCGAACG